GCAGGGGUGGGAAACUACAGUCCUCAGGGGCGUGGUUGGUGUCACACUUCUUCUCCGUCCCUAACAAACACACCUGAUUAAUCAAAUUACAUUCUAUACUGAAGAUCAUGAUUAGGUGAUUAUUGGAGUCUGGUGUGUUAGCUGGGCCUGGGGCAAAACUGUGACACCAAUCAGGCCCCGAGGACUGGAAUUCCUUACCCUUGCGUGGAACAGAUACAAUGAUGUGAUGUCUGUCUAAGUCUAUGGUCUUUUCUGCUUAGUUCACUGACCGAAAAUGAACAAGAAAAAAGGAGUAUGUUUAAUCAUGCUAAGUGCUACUUGUUAAGAGUUGGUGUGUCUCCUGUGUUGGAGACAAGCGUCAUGCCAGUACAGGUGUGAGGAAUUGAAUUAUUCAAGAAGAACGGGGAGGAGAUAUGUGCCAGCAGUGUGGUGUAGUCGGCUGCCACCGACCCAAAGGCACCAGUCUGCCCCGCUGUGUCCCCCAUAUCUGCCAAGAAUCAGUGCUCCAAACGGUAAGUGUGCAAGUGGUCUGAAGUGUAAGGGAGACAUCACCAACACCAACUUUACCAGCUGAGAAGACUCCAACGCCAAGAAGCCCAACAUCAACUGAGACCAGCAUCAAGAUGACUUCCUGGUUAAUAAAGGUUAAAUUAAAAUGAUCUGAAGUCACAUGACUGUGACCAGUAACCACACUGACUGACCGAGAAGAAAGGAUGCUAUACUCAAUGAAUAUAAAGAAUCUCUCUCUCUCUCUCUUACUCUCUCGCUCUUUCUCGCUUUUCUCCUCUCAUCCCAUUGCACCAGAAAUAAAGCUCUCCAGCUUUUAGUCCUAAAAAACAGAAAUUAUUUAGCAUUUUCUACCUCUGGUUUGUUGGGCAUUCCUAGGGGGAAAUGACUGGAGAAAAUAAUGGGGUUUUGGGAUAAAAACAGAAAAGAAGGACUGAGGUUAACACAGACUUAGGACAUCUUGAACAAUGAAGCCUUUUUGUACUCAAAAUAAGUCUGUCGCUAAAGAGUCGCUGUCUGUCAGAGAAAUGGAACCGCUACAUUAGCCGCAACAUUUUCACACCACUACUUAGCUAAACAAGAUAGUUAGCGUUCUGCUUACCAGCUAAGCCUGUGUUUAACACAGACCUUUAAUAUCCCAAUAGGCUUUGCCCAACGGGCAAUUGUGUCCACAAAAAGACCCCAUUACUAUUGCUCUCUAUAGGGCAGCAACAAAAUAUUUUUUUGCAUUUAUUUAACCAUUAUUUAACUAGGCAAGUCAAUUAUUUACAAUGAUGGACAAUGAAGGAUCUCAAUUUAAGUGGUGAAAUGAAACUAUUCUAUAAACUCUGAUUAUUCAAACUCAAGUCAUCCAUCCAAAGCUAUCUGUGGUUGGACAUCAAUGGAUGCAGUGGGACAUUAUACCAUUAAAUGUUGAUUGAUAUUUUCACCUGUGUAGCUCAGUUGGAUGUUGUUUCUUUAGAUAAAAGCGGCUGCUAAGUGGCAUAUAAAUUCACCAUUCUGUAUGUUCUGUCUGCUUGUGGUGUUACCGUGGACACCAGAUUCCCUGGCUUGGCUGAUUGGCUAUUCAAUUGGCUCAUAAAUCAAGUGUCUUUUGUUAACACAUUUGAAAGAUUGAAUAUCUGCUCUUCCUAAACAGAUUUGCAUAUGACACCAGUGCAAUGGAUGCGUUAAGUUAAGUCUGAUUAACAUAUCGGGCUGGAGUUAUAUUUGAAUGUAAAUCACUCACAUCACUGUAAUGUUGCAGAGGAAACAGCUAUGAAUAGAAAUGAUACAAACCUCAAAGACAUUAAACAAACACAAUCAGUACACUGCCAGAAGUGAAAAACGUGAUGUUUAAUCUUCACAUACAGUAAAUAAAGCAUUAAGAUGCUGCUCAGAACUAGAACUGACUCUUUCCAUGGCUCUCGAACCUUUAAUGCAUUCAAAUCCCCCAUGCUUCCUAUUUUAUCUUUUAACUGAUAGUAUUUCAACCACUAUGACACUAUGACAUAGUGACCCAGCGUCGACCGGGUUUGGCCGGGGUAGGCCGUCAUUGAAAAUAAGAACUUGUUCUUAACUGACUUGCCUAGUUAAUAAAGGUUAAAUAAAUUUAAAAAACAAAAAUUAAAUGCUGCCCUACCAAGCAAAAGGCAGUAACUGCUCAUAGUGUGGAACUGAGAAAAAUGUAUUUUAUUUACCUUGGUUUCACAGUAACUUCAUGCAGUUACUGCUAACAUGACCGCCAUUUUCUCCUAAACACAAUACAAUAGAGGUAAAAUAGUUGUCCACAUGAUUAAG
rnacentral:lncRNA from 8 species